rnacentral:rRNA from 1 species
CUACGGGUGGCUCCAGUGGGGAAUAUUGGGCAAUGGGCGCAAGCCUGACCCAGCAACGCCGCGUGAGGGAAGAAUGUCUUCGGAUUGUAAACCUCUGUCCUUGGGGACGAAAAAAAUGACGGUACCCAAGGAGGAAGCUCCGGCUAACUACGUGCCAGCAGCCGCGGUAAUACGUAGGGAGCAAGCGUUGUCCGGAAUUAUUGGGCGUAAAGGGUGCGUAGGCGGCGCUGUAAGUCAGAUGUGAAAUCCCCGGGCUUAACUCGGGAGUUGCAUUUGAAACUACAGUGCUUGAGUAAAGAAGGGGUAAGUGGAAUUCCUAGUGUAGCGGUGGAAUGCGUAGAUAUUAGGAGGAACACCAGUGGCGAAGGCGACUUACUGGUCUUUUACUGGCGCUGAGGCACGAAAGCGUGGGGAGCAAACAGGAUUAGAUACCCGCGUAGUC